rnacentral:rRNA from 1 species
GAUGAACGCUGGCGGCGUGCCUAAUACAUGCAAGUCGAGCGAACGGACGAGAAGCUUGCUUCUCUGAUGUUAGCGGCGGACUGGUGAGUAACACGUAAGCAACCUGCCUAUUAGAGGGGAAUAACAGUGAGAAAUCAUUGCUAAUACCGCAUAUGCUAACAGUAUCGCAUGAUACAGUUAGGAAAGGAGCAAUCCGCUGAUAGAUGAGCUUGCGUCUGAUUAGUUAGUUGGUAAGGUAACGGCCUACCAAGACGAUGAUCAGUAGCCGGACUGAGAGGUUGAACGGCCACAUUGGGACUGAGAUACGGCCCAG